CUUUUUCGUUUCAUUCUUGGCCACAGACUUCACAUGCCCACAACCCCAUGGAGGAGAAACCAGACUAGGACCAAUACCCAUCAAUUCCUUCAGUGUUUUACGCCGGUCACCGUGGAGCUCCGUGUGGUGGGGUUCGGCAAGGAGGUGGUGCUAAAGCAGUGGUGGCGGAUGCGCUGGAGACUUCGCCUGGCCAUGCUACUCCGCCUAGAAGCGCCCACAUCCGGUCGUCGCCCCAUUCGCUGGUGCCGCGCUCCGAUCCACCCCGCCCCUAUUCCGCCUAGGCUGAGCUCCGCCUCCACUGUAGCUCCGCCUCAACGUCUGGCCCAAAGUGGUCUUUGCCACGUUCUUGAACUCCCCCAACACCACGACGGGGUAGGUCCUUCUCUCCAAUCCAAAAUGCUUUUUAGCUAGUCCUCAAAGCUCUUGUUUUUUAAUGGCGAAGGAAUAUUGUUGUUCUUUACAAAAUCUGUGUGGCACCAUUCUAAGAGUUGGCCAUUUAGAAUAGAGGUUGGUAUUUGUCAUCAGCAACAAGGAUUGUUGUUCACUCCUUCCUAUGCAUUUCCCGGUCGAUUGUUGGGCUCUGAAGGACACAAUAACCAAAUGUGUAACUAAAUGAAGGUGUCUUUUUUUUGUGAAAAAAAAAAAAAAAA
rnacentral:lncRNA from 1 species